CUCCAGAAGCUGGUUUCACGUGGUGGUUUAGAUGUGUCUCCUCAUCGUCUAGCACCAUUUGAAAUCAGUGUUCUUGGGG
ensembl:miRNA tni-mir-29b-1 tni-mir-29b-1